rnacentral:lncRNA from 1 species
CUGGGGUGUGUGGUGGGUGUGUGGUUGGGUGUGGCAUCUGGGGGUGUGUGGUGUCUUGGGUGUGUGGUUGGGUGUUUGGUGUUUGGGGGCAUGUAUGUGGUGUCUGGAGGUGUGUGUAGUGUCUGAAGAUGUGUGGUCUGGCGGGGCUAUGUGGUGUCUGAAGGUGUGUGGUAUCUGGGGGUGUGUGUGGUGUCUGGGGGGGUUGUGGUGUCUUGGGGUGUGUGUGUGAGAGAUUGGGGGUGUUCGGGCAGUGUAAGAGCAGAUGUGUGAGGUGCCCAGGCACCAGCCUCCCCAGUUAUGGUGUGUUCUACCCUCACCAGGAUCUUCCUGGGGAGGAAAUGGGAGGGGAACGGGGCUGAGAAGGUGGCCAGGUCCUGGGCGCCUCUGAAGCUACAUAAGUAGAGGCCCUUGGGCAGGUUCAGCCAAGAGCUCCAGCCACCCUGUGAG